CUAAACAAAAUAAUUCAAUCUUCAUCAUGUCAAUUAUUACUACUCUACUACUUCCAGUUCCAGGUCUGGAGAAAGAUCACUCUCAUGUUCUACCUCAGGCUGGAGUUUUCGCGAGUUGCAUCAUAUUUCUUGCUUCGUGAGGUCAAAUAGAAGCUCAUGUUAAUGGGAAAAGGGAAUUUGGAAAGGUCCUAGAAGUACCAUGUAUCUAUACCUUUCCUGGAAAGAAAAAAACUAAUCGAUAGGAUGAAGGAACUACUCGACUAAGACUCAACUGUGACUAGACGGCCAUUUUACUAGUUAAUUAAAUACUUGGUUAUUAAUAAUAAUAAUGAAUAGUAUUAUAUGCGGCGUCUAUUUGAAGGCGGCGGUAA